GACCCAGUUUCUUGUGGACAAGAGCGAACCCCUGAAAGCUACAAGUAAGCAGUGGAUCAGUUACAAGCUGAAGACGUGGCGGAUGUUCAUGGAGUAAAGUUCAGGGCCCUGUUGCUUUUCUGCUGAGACAUUCAUGUUGAGCAUUGACCAAAAGGUUGUCAACGACCACAUCACUUCCUUCACCUCUGCCCUCUGCCUGAUGUUUGGGAGUUUCUACUGCUUCAACAUACACUACCCAGUGGAACUACGAUCAACACUAGAGUUUCUCCAAAGGUGUUUCUUCUCAAUAAAUCCUGAGAGAGGCACCAAAGUCGAGUGGAAUAAAAAAAAAGAAAGUACUCCCAGUCAAUCCUAGAGUCCUCACUCUGAUUGCAGACCUUGCAGACCAUGAAUGGACAUAGACAUACCCUAUUAACCCUUUAGGGACAAGUGGUUAAGGUAUGAGUGGUUAAUGUAUGUUCAAGUAUACAGUAUGUUAUGGUAUACUGCACAUAUUUUGUUGUUAAAAUUGUACCACAAGGUAAAUUGAAAGCCAGUGUAAACUUCUCGUUGGAAAAUGUCUGGUGGUUUCUAAAGGUACAUGUUUAGCUUCACUGAGAGAGAUCAGUGGAUUUGUGCUGGUGAACUUGGUAGUUCCAGAAAUUUCUUAGAUGACAUUUAUUUUUUUUACAGUCAUUAAGGUAAUUGUUUUGUGAUUUCUAUAGUUAGUAAAAUUUCAAACCAUUGCUCUUUACAGCUUCACAGAAGUGGAAAAAACUUUCCUAUAUUUCAAAAUGUAAGAAGAAUAUGUUUUUUUGUGGCCUAUUGUUUGUUCAGGUUUAUUGAGUAGAAUAAGUGUUAUGAAAAUACUGUAGUCCCAUGUAAAUCACGCUUAUGUGGGUCACUCCUUCAGAGCCAUGCAGUUAACAGUUUGAGUCAAGUAUAGAGUCUGUGUUAUGUGUAGCUCUGGCCGUGUCUGACUUUUUAAAAUGGACAGCUGCGGUGAUGCCUUUCUGGAGUGUUUCUGGGCUGGGCAGAGUGGACAGGGCGGGCUGCCCUUCAACAGAGACAAGCAUUUCUUUGCCUGGAAAAUGCAGCUUACUCAAGCUGUUAUAUGUAGU